GAUAACGAGGCAUGGAAGGUCGAGAUGAGAUCCUCCACCACUUUCGGGAAUCCGAUCUGCAUUUAUUUGGAUCGGAAUUGCCCAAAUCUGCAGAUUCCGAGUCCAAUUCUCGUCAGGGUCACAUCGGAUUGGGUUCGCUCUUGAUUCGUCGACGGGCGUCGCUCCUCUUCUCGGGUGUAAACGAGGGUUCGCGAGAGUUAACCGCACGACGGGGACGGGGAUAACUGAAGCAGCCGUUCUCCUCCUCCAGCCGUGCUAUUCGAGCAGCUCCCUGUCGUCAUGCAUAGGAUCGAACUCCUCGUAUAAUGCCUUCACGCGAUUCGAUUCGCGUGAUCUAGAUGGGAGUAGAUGGAGAGAGUUUUGAUGAUGGUGGAAAAAGUUCUGCAGGACUCGACGGAGGCGACAGUAUCGGUGGAGGUUCUGUGAUGUGGUCUUGGGAAAGGUGGAUGCAAGCAAUUCUUCUACAGAUCACAAGCAGUUGAUACCAACCAACUUCAAAUUGGGAAGCUCAAAGAUUUCCGGAUCAAUCUGUUGAAUGAUUAAAAACUCUAAUUGGAAACACAUGGUGCCUUGUUUUCCGCCCUCAACUUGGAACCAAGUAGUCAUCUCAAACUUGGAGCAUGGUCCAUAUGUGUACCAUAUUUGAAGAACAAACUAUGUUAUAAACAGAUGAUUGAUUUCUCUUA